rnacentral:rRNA from 1 species
ACGGCUCAGUAACACGUGGAUAACAUGCCCUAAGGUGGGGGAUAAUCUCGGGAAACUGAGGAUAAUACCCCAUAGGUCUUCUAUGCUGGAAUGCUCGAAGGCCGAAAACUCCGGUGCCUUAGGAUUGGUCUGCGGCCUAUCAGGCAGUAGUGGGUGUAAUGGACCCACUAGCCCGUGACGGGUAUGGGCCUUGAGAGAGGGAGCCCAGAGAUGGACUCUGAGACAUGAGUCCAGGCCCUACGGGGCGCAGCAGUCGCGAAAACUUCGCAAUGGGGGCAACCCCGACGAGGGAAUUCCAAGUGCCAGCACUUUGUGUUGGCUGUUCUCUUGUCUAAAAAACAAGAGGAGUAAGGGGCGGGUAAGACGGGUGCCAGCCGCCGCGGUAAUACCCGCGCCCCAAGUGGUGGUCGAUAUUAUUGAGCCUAAAACGUCCGUAGCCGGUCUUUUAAAUCCUUGGGUAAAUCGGGCAGCUUAACUGUCCGACUUCCGAGGAGACUGGAAGACUUGGGACCGGGAGAGGUCAGAGGUACUUCUGGGGUAGGGGUAAAAUCCUGUAAUCCUGGAAGGACCACCGGUGGCGAAGGCGUCUGACUAGAACGGAUCCGACGGUGAGGGACGAAGCCCUGGGGCGCAAACGGGAUUAGAUACCCCGGUAGUCCAGGGUGUAAACGCUGCGGGCUUGGUGUUGGGGGUCCUUUGUGGGCGCCCAGUGCCGGAGAGAAGUUGUUAAGCCUGCUGCUUGGGGAGUAUGUCCGCAAGGAUGAAACUUAAAGGAAUUGGCGGGGGAGCAC